UACAGAGGGUGCAAGCGUUAUUCGGAGUUAUUGGGCGUAAAGAGCGCGUAGGUGGUUCGAUAAGUCUGGUGUGAAAUCCCUGGACUCAAUCCAGGAAGUGCAUUGGAUACUGUCGAACUAGAGUGCAGGAGAGGUGAGCGGAAUUCCAGGUGUAGAGGUGAAAUUCGUAGAUAUCUGGAGGAACAACAGUGGCGAAGGCGGCUCACUGGACUGCAACUGACACUGAGGCGCGAAAGCGUGGGGAGCAAACAGG
rnacentral:rRNA from 1 species